UACAGAGGUGGCAAGCGUUGUUCGGAAUUACUGGGCGUCAAGGGCGCGUAGGCGGUCUAGUAAGUCUUGUGUGAAAUCCCCCGGCUCAACUGGGGAACUGCACAGGAGACUGCUUGGCUUGAGUUCGGGAGAGGGAAGCGGAAUUCCGGGUGUAGCGGUGAAAUGCGUAGAUAUCCGGAAGAACACCCGUGGCGAAGGCGGCUCUCUGGGACGGUACUGACGCUGAGACGCGAAAGCGUGGGGAGCGAACAGG
rnacentral:rRNA from 1 species